UAAACGGAUGCGAUGACGAUCGGGUGGU
rnacentral:sRNA from 1 species